UUGUCACCACAUUUUACUUUAUCGUUUUCUCUGUCAUCACCUCUUUUCUUUCAUGUAUAUUCCUGUACGGCUCAGAGGUUGUCUCACUCUCUUGGCAAUUAUCGUAAAGACCCAUUUGAUGGUUUCCUAUGAUGUAAAAUGUACUGUUAACGUUGCAUUGUCAACGUACCUACCCUGUUUUGGAUUGAAUGUAAAUGUCUACCCUUAAUUACACUAUCCUAUAGCUGCUGUAAACAAUUAAAGAUUACAGAUUAAAAAAGAUAAAAAGAACACAAUAGAACAGAAACUCAAAGACACAAUAAAAAGACAGUAAAUGGAAGUUAUAAAUAAGUGUAACAGAGGUUUUGUGAUAGGGGAAUAUGCACCAUAAAUAAAUAAAAUAAAUAGCACAUGCCCAUGAUCGUUGUUUACUAGCAGCAUAUAAGGGCAGCAGCAGUUAUUGCACAGACCAGAACAACAGAGUAGCAUUAACACUGAGAAGGGUUAGAGAGUCUCACAGCCUCUGGGAAGAAGCUGCUUUUCAGUCUGGUUGUCCUGGCCUUGAUGCUGCGCAGCCUUCUUCCUGAGGGGAGGGGGGCAAACAGUCCGUUAGCAGGGUGGGUGGAGUCGUUCAUGAUGCAGGAAGCCUUCCUCCUGCACCUGGUGGCAUAAACGUCUGACAGGGUGGGUAGGCUACUGUCCAUGAUCUUCUGGGCAGACUUCACCACCCGCUGCAGAGCCUUCCUGUCUGCAGCAGAUCAGUUGCCGUACCACACCGUGAUGCAGGAGAUACUUGAAGCUGGAGACCACUUCGACAGCUGCUCCUCCGAUGCAAGGGAGGGAAGGUGUUGUCGCCCCUCCUGAAGUCCACAAUCAUCUCUCUUGUUUUUCCCGCAUGAUGCAGAGGUUGUUUGCUCUGCACCAAACCUCCAGAUGUUCCACCUCCUGCCUGUACAAUGAUUCAUCAUUGUGGGAGAUUAGUCCCACAACUGCUGUAUCAUCUGCAAACUUAAUGAUGUGGCUGCCCGGGUAGUUGGCUGAGCAGUUGUAAGUCAGCAGGGUGUACAGCAGGGGGCUCAGGAUGCACCCCUGGGGGGAGCCGGUGUUGAGGAUGACAGGGAAGGAUGAGAUGUUGGGUAUGAAUCAACCCUCUAAGAACUUUAUAGGACCUUACGAAUCCACUCCUAAUCUCCUCUGGACAUCCAAAAGCAUCCGAUUGGCAGACCACAAUAAUUGUGUAGUUGAUUUUAAAGUUUAAAGACCAGAGAGGUAAGGACGCACUAAACCAUUCAGUGCUUUUAAAAAUAAUAACAUUUUAAGACCAAUAUCCUAAAAUUAAAUGUAAGCCCUGUGCAGGGUAGCACGUACAGGUGAACUAUGGUCUUGCCUGCGUGCGCAUGUUAAAAACCAAGCAGCAGCAUUUUGAACUAGCUGCAGGUGAGACAGCAAAGACUGGCUGACACCAGAAUAGAGACUGUUGCAGUAGGCAAGCUACUUUGAAAUAAAACCAUUAAUCAUUUUCUCUAAGUAAGUCAUCAAAUAUCACACCCAGGUUUUUUGCUGAAGAUUUACAAUAAGGGAGCAAAGGGGCCGAGGGUGUUACUAAAAAUAGCAUGGGGUCGAAAGAUCCAAACAGCACCACUUCAAGAUGGAACCAAAAGGGAGCAAAUAUAAAGAAAAUAGGAGGGUUUGCUGUCAUGAUUCUGCCCCUUAGAACUCUGUCGGCACUUGUAAAGUCUUGUUUUUCAGUGGACUGUUAUUUAAUGCUUUACUGCUCCCUUGAUUUGCAUUCCUUGUGUAUCCCUGUUAAGUUACUUCUGUUAUCCCUUCUGUUUCUUGUAUUACGUUUGCCAUUUCCUGUUUUACUUAGUAGUUUCUUUCCUCGUGUUGCUGCACUUCCUGUUGCCCUGUCUCUUGUCUGUGACUUUACAUUUUCUUGUGUUUCCCUGUGAUUGUCUGCACCUUUCCCUAAUGUGUCUCACCUGUAUUCAGUCUUCCCUUGUGUAUUUAGUUUGUUGUGUAGAAGAAAUGCUUUGGCCGAGUGUAAUCGUCAUUACGGAACUAGUGUCCUUUAUGGGCGAGGUUAUUUUGACGUAAUAACGUUGUUGUGACCUCAAACGUUCUCCCUAUAUAAUGUAUAAUACUAGUCUACUCUACUUGUUACAGUUUCAAUAAGUGUGCUUAAGAUUUUGAGAGAAUACAAGGAUUAGAAGGUAGGAUAGGGUUUUUUGUGUUUUGUGUUGUCAUUGUUUCAUUUCAUUUACUGAUCAUGUCAUUACUGGUUUGAUUGCUACUCCUAAUCUGUUAACUGUCAAGUAAAGACAUCUUUUUCUCAAUUAA